AUCAUCACUAGAUAUCAUCGCUAGAUAUCAUCAGCGAACUACAGAAUACAGUCUCCGGCAAUAAUUAUGUUAGAAUGCUGCUUUUACCCUACAAUUUACCCCUUUUUCACAUCUGCCCACUUUAUUGAGCAAUAUAGCGAUCAUGCCUUGGCCUCCAUAUUCUCCUGAUUUGAAUCCUAUAGAGAAUCUUUGGGCAUUGUUGAAGCAGAAGAUCUAUCAGCUGCAUCCAGAGCUGAAAUAUGCAGCAAAUACAGAAGCUACAAAAAG
rnacentral:sRNA from 1 species